CGACCUUUUAAUAUAGUUAAAAAAUAAUUUCUACGGUGUGUGGAACGUUGCUGGUAAACUGUGUAGUCUUAAAAUUAUAACGAACCGAUCCGAUCCUACGUUGCCGAGUUCCUAUAAGCUGGCCUCGGUAAUUAUACCAAGGUAAUUACUAUUUUUGUUUUGUCGGUUUGUCUUAUCUUUCACUGACAAAACUUUACCGGUGUUUAACAUUAGAGCAUGCAUUGUAGAGUGAUAUUUAGUUUUUUUCUAAACUGCGCAUACCGAAGUUUGCCUUUCCGUUCGACUUACAUUGAAAUCGUUAUAGCCACCCCGGUGUGCUGCGCUAUUGACCGGUACUCGUU